AUUGAACGCUGGCGGCAGGCCUAACACAUGCAAGUCGAACGGUAACAGGAAACAGCUUGCUGUUUCGCUUACGAGUGGCGGACGGGUGAGUAAUGUCUGGGAAACUGCCUGAUGGAGGGGGAUAACUACUGGAAACGGUAGCUAAUACCGCAUAACGUCGCAAGACCAAAGAGGGGUACCUUCGGGCCUCUUUCCAUCGGAUGUGCCCAGAUGGGAUUAGCUAGUAGGUGGGGUAACGGCUCACCUAGGCGACGAUCCCUAGCUGGUCUGAGAGGAUGACCAGCCACACUGGAACUGAGACACGGUCCAGACUCCUACGGGAGGCAGCAGUGGGGAAUAUUGCACAAUGGGCGCAAGCCUGAUGCAGCCAUGCCGCGUGUAUGAAGAAGGCCUUCGGGUUGUAAAGUACUUUCAGCGGGGAUGAAGGGAGUAAAGUUAAUACCUUUGCUCAUUGACGUUACCCGCAGAAGAAGCACCGGCUAACUCCGUG
rnacentral:rRNA from 1 species